UACGGAGAAGGCAAGCGUUACCCGGAAUUACUGGGCGUAAAGCGUUGCGUAGGCGGAUAUGUAAGUGAAGUGCGAAACCCUGUGGCUCAACCAUAGGCUGGUACUUCAAACUGUAUAUCUAGAGGGCAGUAGAGGUGAGUGGAAUUGCUUAUGUAGGAGUGAUAUCCGUAGAUAUAAGCAGGAACACCAAUGGCGAAGGCAACUCACUGGACUGACCCUGACGCUGAGGCACGAAAGCGUGGGGAGCGAACCGG
rnacentral:misc_RNA from 1 species